GCAGUCGCCGCGGGAAUACAGAGGGUGCGAGCGUUAAUCGGAUUUACUGGGCGUAAAGCGUGCGUAGGCGGCUUCUUAAGUCGGAUGUGAAAUCCCUGAGCUUAACUUAGGAAUUGCAUUCGAUACUGGGAAGCUAGAGUAUGGGAGAGGAUGGUAGAAUUCCAGGUGUAGCGGUGAAAUGCGUAGAGAUCUGGAGGAAUACCGAUGGCGAAGGCAGCCAUCUGGCCUAAUACUGACGCUGAGGUACGAAAGCAUGGGGAGCAAACAGGAUUAGAUACCCGCGUAGUCCCUGUCUCUUAUAC
rnacentral:rRNA from 1 species